ACGGGAGGCAGCAGUGGGGAAUAUUGGACAAUGGGGGGAACCCUGAUCCAGCCAUGCCGCGUGUGUGAAGAAGGCCUUUUGGUUGUAAAGCACUUUAAGCGAGGAGGAGGCGCCCUAGACUAAUACUCUAGGUGCGUGGACGUUACUCGCAGAAUAAGCACCGGCUAACUCUGUGCCAGCAGCCGCGGUAAUACAGAGGGUGCGAGCGUUAAUCGGAUUUACUGGGCGUAAAGCGUGCGUAGGUGGCUAAUUAAGUCAAAUGUGAAAUCCCUGAGCUUAACUUAGGAAUUGCAUUCGAUACUGGUUGGCUAGAGUAUGGGAGAGGAUGGUAGAAUUCCAGGUGUAGCGGUGAAAUGCGUAGAGAUCUGGAGGAAUACCGAUGGCGAAGGCAGCCAUCUGGCCUAAUACUGACACUGAGGCACGAAAGCAUGGGGAGCAAACAGGAUUAGAUACCCUGGUA
rnacentral:rRNA from 1 species